rnacentral:rRNA from 1 species
GACGAACGCUGGCGGCGUGCUUAACACAUGCAAGUCGAACGGAAAGGCCCUGCUUUUGUGGGGUGCUCGAGUGGCGAACGGGUGAGUAACACGUGAGUAACCUGCCCUUGACUUUGGGAUAACUUCAGGAAACUGGGGCUAAUACCGGAUAGGAGCUCCUGCUGCAUGGUGGGGGUUGGAAAGUUUCGGCGGUUGGGGAUGGACUCGCGGCUUAUCAGCUUGUUGGUGGGGGAGGGGCUUACCAAGGCUUUGACGGGUAGCCGGCCUGAGAGGGUAACCGGCCACAUUGGGACUGAGAUACGGCCCAGACUCCUACGGGAGGCAGCAGUGGGGAAUAUUGCACAAUGGGCGGAAGCCUGAUGCAGCAACGCCGCGUGCGGGAUGACGGCCUUCGGGUUGUAAACCGCUUUCGCCUGUGACGAAGCGUGAGUGACGGUAAUGGGUAAAGAAGCACCGGCUAACUACGUG